GGGGCGGUAGCUCAAUUGGUCAGAGCAGCGGGCUCAUAACCCGUCGGUCGUGGGUUCGAUCCCCACCCGCCCCA
rnacentral:tRNA from 1 species